CUUCAGCACAGAUCCAAGCCUGAGCACCUUGGAGCUGGAGCCCAUCUCAUGCUGGAAUCCCCUCUUCUCCCCCUGCCUGACCCACCCAGCAACAGCUAACUGCCCCCUUCCCCUUCCCAGCUGAAGGGGGCCAGCCCCUCCACACCUGUGGGUAUUUCUCCUCAGGCAGGAGGAGAGACUAAGAAAAGAAAUAAGACACAGACAAAGUAUAGAGAAAGAAAGGUGGGCCCAGGGGACCGGCACUCAGCAUACGGAGGACCCGCACCGGCACUGGUCUCUGAGUUUCCUCAGUAUUUAUUGAUUACUAUUUUCACUAUCUCAGCAAGAGGAAUGUGGCAGGAGAGCAGGGUGAUAGUGGGGAGAAGAUCAGCAAGAAAACACGUGAGCAAAGGAAUCUGUGUCACGAAUAAGUUCAAGGGAAGGUACUAUGCCUGGAUGUGCACGUAGGCCGGAUUUAUGCUUCUCUCUACCCAGACAUCUCAGUGGAGUAAAGAGUAACAGAGCAGCAUUGCUGCCAACAUGUCUCGCCUCCCGCCACAGGGCGUUUUUUCUCCUAUCUCAGAACAAACGUACAAUCAGGUUUUAUACUGAGACAUUCAGUUCCCAGGGGCAGGCAGAAGACAGAGGCCUUUCUCUUAUCUCAACGGCAAGGGGCCUUCCUCUUUUACUAAUCCUCCUCAGCACAGACCCUUCACGGGUGUCAGGCUGAGGGACGGUCAGGUCUUUCCCAUCCCACCAGGCCAUAUUUCAGGCUAUCACGUGGGGAGAAACCUUGGACAAUACCUGGCUUUCCAGGGCAGAGAUCCCUGCGGCUUUCUGCAGUGCAUUGUGCCCCUGGUUUAUCGAG
rnacentral:lncRNA from 10 species